CGGUCUACUGUAAAUAAAACAGACAAAAAUUUUAAGUUUUUUUAACCAAUCGGAGUUUAAAGCUUUUGACCAAUCAGAGCGAAUUAUGGAGAAUUCCAAUUUUCGACAGAGAUUGCGGAGAGCCCGUAAAUUAGAUUAUUGACACUCUGCGAUCCUGAGAGUAUCAGGUAAAAUAAAUAAGUAUAUGGGGAUCGGACAAUAGGACGUAAGCUGGACAAUCAGAAUCGAGCAACUCACCAAUGCCAAGAGUAGUUCCAGAAAUUCCGAGCCGGAAACUGCAGCCUAGAAACAAGCCUCAUCUGGAAGAUCUGUACAGCCCGACGAGAACGUCCUACAAAACCUGGUAGACCAAAAUCGCAUCGCAGCUGAUGAGAAACUAGCGGAGAAUCAAGAAGAGUACAUUUUAGAUUUAAAAAGGACAUUGUUUGUUUAUUAUAACUCUUAAAAAUGAAAGUAGUAUUAAAAACUGCAUUAUUUAUCGGAUGACUGAAUAAAUACAAGCCUUUCUUUUGCAAAAUCUUCCAAAAAGUCAUCUCUUCCCUUAGGAAAGAGACCUCGUGUGCUUUGCCAUAAUCUAUUAAACAAAAUUUAACUAUCAUUGCACUUAAUAUUUAUACUAAUUUGAUACAAUGUAUAUUUUUGAAUAUUAUUAUCAUUUCUUAACUAAAUUUUUUAUUAUUAUGCAUUGUAAAUGUUAAAGCUCUGUAUUAGUAUAUACUUGGUAAUAUCAUCAUUUAUUUAUUUUAUUUGUAACGCGUAAAAUGCUGUUUGUAGAGAUGUUACGGAAUUCCCAUAUAUAGUAUUUAUUAGUCUAGGAUUUUCGCAAGUAUGUUUUCAGAAGAGACUAUGAAAUAAAACCUAAUUUCACCACAUGAUAACCACGCAUUAUAAUCUCCCGAGUGGAAAAGAGAAGAAUAUGUCCACUGUUUUACAAUUACAGAUUUACGUUUACAUGCUUACAAGUGGGGACAGAAAAGGAAAAAUUACAGACGUCAGGAUUCAAGACAAAGGUAAGAGCGUAAGAAAUGGAAAGGUUACCAUACAGGUAACUGAUUAAGAAUAACGAAAUUUCCAUUGGUUAACUAUAAGAUUCUGUGUAAAUAAUUUUUAACAUUGUCGGAUUAACUUUCCUUCUUUUACAAACUCUCGACGCUAUAUGAAUACCUGCGAUAUUAAACAUCAUAUAAGAAUCCUACGAUAAGGAUAAAUUUUGAAAUUAUGCACUUCAGAAAGAUUUAGUAUUAGCAUAUAAAAGUGAAACGUGCGUAUUAGCAUAUUUCGCUUUUUAGGAUAGAAAAAAGAAAUAAUAAGAUUUCAGGGUUAUCACGAUCUAAAUUUAGAAUUUUAUCUUAUAUAUUCCUUACCGUACAUGUGCUCUCUUUAGAAACGAUGACUUGGUUUAAAAAGUUAUUUCUUAGGAGAGACCAUUAAGCUGCAACAAACAAAUAUAUCACCACAUGGAAAAUGUGAGCUAGAAAACCUGCAGUGGAAAUAAUAUUUCUAAAGCUAGAGCAUAAAAUCUUCGAGCAUUUUUAGAAAAUAAAUAAAAUUUAUAAUUCCAUAGAAAUUUCGAUCUUCAAUCCAAUUUUUGAAAAUACCUUUGUUUUUUGAAAAGCUGAUUCUAAUUAUGAAGACUUUUUAAGAAAACCUUUUCAUAUAUUUAUUACCUGCGUUCGCAUAUUUAAUACUUAUUCGGUUGCAUUAUAACAAAUCACAAAAGUUUAUAACAUUAAAGCUUCAUAUUUAUAAUUUUUUUAAUAUAAAAAGAAGAUAAUAUCAUAUUAAAAGUACAUUUUCACAUUAAUUGGUAAUCCUAUACCAGCUGAAGGCUCCACUAUUCUUAAAAUACUAACGUUUCGAUAAAAAUUUGGGCAAGUUCUCUUUAUUGAUGUGUGACUACUAUUAUACACCUUUUCAAGGCUUCUGUUCUUUGCAUAAGGUAAGUGGCCCUUUCAUGACUGUAGUAAUUCGUUAUAUAGUAAAAAAAUAUUAAUUGUAAAAACGACAAAUUCAGUAAUAUUAAAAAUAGCUUGCAAUUU
rnacentral:lncRNA from 1 species